GGGCUUUAUAAUGAUGCGCAUGGAAAGCAGCGGGGGGCACGGGACCGACGAGCGCGGCGUCAGCGGCGAGAUGCGCGUGCCUAGGGGUCAUGCCGUGACGCGCGGGCGCUUUCCCCCCUGCCUGCCCGUGGCUCAGCGCGCGUGCGGGCUGGCAGCCAGCGGUGCGGCUGGGCUGGCCGUUUUCUUCUUUUUUUUUCGUUCCUUCCUUUUUUUUCUGUUUUUCUGUCGUCGCUCGGUGCUCCGACACCGGGGGCGUGCAGCCACGUCCCCCUUUUAGGUUCGGUGGGGGCGUCUGAGGCGGAGACCCGGUUAUCGCCGGCACGGCCGAUGAGGCCCUACGGGGCCGGUGAGACAAAGUGCUAAGAGUGCGCCCUAGUGUAAGAACAAAAGCACACCCGUCUUUUACCCAGGUUCGGGCCACCCGGAGGUGUAAAACCCUACGUCCUGUCUGUCUGAACUGAUAUGUAUUGCGGAUCAAACGUUUAUUGUUGGAAAUAUGCCCUAGAGGCAAUAAUAAAUUUGUUAUUAUCAUAUUUCAUUGUUCUUGAUAAAUGUUUAUUGCCCAUGCUAUAAUUGUAUUGAUUGGAAACUCAAAUACAUGUGUGGAUAAAUAAACAAAUACCGUGUCCCUAAUACGCCUCUACUAGAUUAGCUCGUUGAUUAAAGAUGGUUAAGGUUUCCUAACCAUAGACAUGUGUUGUCAUUUAAUAACGAGAUCAUAUCAUUAGGAGAAUGAUGUGAUGGACAGACCCAAACCUAAACAUAGCUUUUGAUCGUGUCACUUAAGUUUAAGUUGCUUAUGUUUUAUUAUGUCAAGUAUUAUUUCUUUAGACCAUGAGAUCAUGCCACUCCCUAGUAACGGAAGAAUACUUUGUGGGCAUCAACCGUCAUCUCGUAACUGGGUGAUCAUAAAGGUGUUUUUCAGGUAUCCCAGAAGGUGCUUGUUGGGUUGUAUGGAUCAAGACUGGGAUUUGUCACUCCUUGUGACGGAGAGAUAUCUCUGGGCCCUCUCGGUAAUAUAACAUCCUAAUGAGCUUGCAAGCAUGUGACUAAUGUGUUUAGUUGCGGGGGUAUUAUAUUACGGAACGAGUAAAGAGAACUUGCCGGUAACGAGAUUAAACUAGGUAUGGCGAUACCGACGAUCAAAUCUCGGGCAAGUAAUAUAUCGCGAGACAAAGAGAAUUGGAUACUGGAUUAAUUGAAUCCUCGACAUAGUGGUUCAACCGAUGAGAUCUUCGUGGAAUAUGUGGGAACUAUUAUGGACAUCCAGGUCCCGCUAUUGGUUAUUGAUAUUUGAUCAUGUCCACAUGUUCUCGAACCCGUAGGGUCACACACUUAACGUUUCAUGUUGCUUGGGUUAGAUGAGAUAAAUGAUGAUGAUAUCGAAUUAUGAUUCGGAGUCUUGGAUGGGAUCCUAGACGCAACGAGGAGCUCCGGAAUGUUCCGGAGAUAAAGAUUUAUAUAUGGAAAGUUGUUUUCAGGGUUCUGGAAAGUUUGGAAUAUUUCCCGGUUUUGACCGGGAAGCUUCUAGAAGGUUCCGGAGGGAUCCGGAGGGUUCCACCUUGAGGCCCACCUAUCCCUGGGCUAAAUGGGCCUGUGAGGGAGCACCCUGGCCUUAAUGGGCCGAGGGGCUAGCCCACAGGGCCCAUGCGGCCAGGAGGAGAGUCCUGGCCGCGGGAGAGUCCUGGCCGCAUGAGAGUCCUGGCCGCCGGAGAGUCCUGGCCACGGGAUAGUCCUGGCCGGCCACGCCUCCUCUACCCCUAUAUAAAUAGAAGGGGGGGCAAGGGAGAGAGACACCCCAAAGCUUUCAGUUGGAUCUCUCUCCCCUGAGCCCUCCUCUCCUCCUCUUCUCACGCGCACGGCGUAGCCCUGCCCGUGAGAAUAUUCACCAUAGUCACCACGCCGUCGUGCUGCCGGGAUCUCGUCUACCUCUCCCUCUCGCUUGCUGGAUCGAGGAAGGAGGAGACAACGUGAAGCUGAACGUGUGGAUACCAAGGAGGUGCUGUCCGUUCGGCACUGAGAUUGAUCUCAUUGAAAGUUCCACUACACCAACAACGAUCUCGUGAUCGUAACGCUUAGCGGUCUACGAGGGUAUGGUGUUCAUGAUCCCUCUCGUUACAUACAUCUAGUAUAUAUAUUCUUGGGUUUUCUUCCGCACUUCUCGUAGGAAAUUUUUGUUUCCUAUGCAACGAACCUAACAAUGGUAUCAGAGCUAGAUCUAUGCGUAGAUGUUUUGUACGAGUAGAACACAAUUUAGUUGUGGGCGUUGAUGUUCAUAUUGCUACCUCCUUUGUGCACUAUCGGAUUUUGCGGGAUAGUGGGAUGAAGCGGCUCGGACCAACCUUACUUGUCUUCGCACAAGAGACCGGUUCUGCAAUUAACAUGCAACUUGUAUUGCAUAAGGCGGCUGGCGGGUGUCUGUCUCUCCCACUAUAGUUGAAAUCUGAUUUGCAAUGGGAGGCCUAUAUGGUUAAUAAGCAAUUUGUAUAUCACCGUUGUGGCUUUUGCGUAAGUAAGAACGGUUCUUUUAGUGCAGCCCCUAAAGCCACGUAAAACAUGCAACAACAAAGUAGAAGCGUCUAACUUGUUUUUGCAGGGGCAUGUGAUGUGGUAUGGCCAAGAUAUGAUAUAAUAUAUUUGAUGUAUGAGAUGAUCAUGUUUUGUAAUAUUUCACGACUUGCAUGUCGAUGAGUUUGGCAACCGGCAGGAGCCGUAUGGUUGUCUCAUUAAUUAUUGUAUGACCUUCGUGUCAAUGAUUUAAUCGCCAUGUAAUUGCUUUAUUUUAUCGCUAGUAGUAGCAAUAGUCGUAGUAGCAAUAGUUGGUGGAGGCAACUAUACAUGACGCCCGAGGACCUAGGCGCCAUGCUGGUGAUGAUGGAGAUCGUGCCCGUGCUUUGGAGAUGGAGAUCAAAGGCACACGAAGAGAAGGCCAUAUCAUGUCACAUUAUUUAUGCAUGUGAUGUUUAUCCCUUUUAUGCAUCUUAUUUUGCUUAGUUGACAGUAGCAUUAUAAGAUGAUCCCUCAUUGUUAAUAUCAAGAUAAUAAUGUGUUCUCCCUUAGUAUGCACCGUUGCAAAAGUUCGUCGUUUUGAAGCACCACGUGAUGAUCGGGUGUUAUAAACUCUACGUUCGCAUACAACGGGUGUAAGCCAGUUUUACACAUGCAGGAAUACUUUGGUUAACUUGACGAGCCUAGCAUGUACAGACAUGGCCUCGGAACACAAGGAACCGAAAGGUUAAACAUGAGUCAUAUGAAUGAUGUGAUCAACAUGCUGAUGUUUACCAUUGAAGCUACUCCAUCUCACGUGAUGAUCGGACUUGGUGUAGUGGAUUUGGAUCAUGUGUCACUAAACAACCCGAGGGAUGUUGUUUUUAGUGGGAGUUCAUUAGUAAUUUGAUUAGCUUGAACUUAUUAUCAUGAACUUAGUCUAAUUGUCUUUGCAAAUAUGCUGUAGAUCAAUGGCUCGUACUACAUUCAAUAUGAAUACUCUCCUAGAGAAAGAUAAACUGAAGUCCAAUGGAAGUAACUUUAUGGACUAGUUCCGGAAUGUGAGGAUUAUCCUCGAAGCUGCCAAAAAGGCUUAUGUUUUUGAUGCAGCGCUUGGUGCAGAACCCGCAGCAACUGAGUCUGCUGACGUUAGGAACGUUUGGCUGACUCAAUCUGAGGACCACAAUGUAGUUAGGUGCGGCCUCUUGCUUGGUAUGGAACCUGAGCUCCAAAAGCGUUUUGAGCACCACUCGGCAUAUGCUAUGAUUGGGGAACUGAAUACUUUAUUUCAGACCCAAGCCCGUGCGGAGAGGUAUGAUGCCUCCGAAAGGUUCCUUAACUGCAAGAUGGAGGAGAACAACUCCGUUAGCGAGCACGUGCUCAGAAUGUCUGGGUACGCCGACCGCCUGAGACAACUGGGAAUUGAGAUUCCUAAUGAAUUAGGCAUUGACCGGGUUCUUCAGUCACUACCACCUAGCUAUAAAAGUUUUGUGAUGAACUACAAUAUGCAAGGGAUGGAUAGGACACUUCCUCAGCUCCUCGCGAUGUUAAAAACCGCGGAGGUGGAAAUCAAAAAGGAGCAUCAAGUGUUGAUGGUCAAUAAGACCACCAGUUUCAAGAAGGCAAAGGGUAAGAAGGGAAAUUUCAAGAAGGGUGGCAAAACUGUUGCCACUCCCGCGAAGAAGCCCAAAUCUGGACCUAAGCCGGAUACUGAGUGCUUCUACUGCAAGGGGACUGGCCACUGGAAGCGUAACUGCCCCAAGUACUUGGCAGAUAAGAAGGCUGGCAACGUCAAAGGUAUAUUUGAUAUACAUGUUAUUGAUGUGUACCUUACUAGUACUCGUAGUAGCACCUGGGUAUUUGAUACUGGUUCAGUUGCUCACAUUUGUAACUCGAAACAGGAGCUACAGAAUAAACGAAGACUAGCAAGAGAUGAGGUGACUAUGCACGUCGGGAAUGGAUCAAAAGUUGAUGUGAUCGCCGUCGGCACGCUCCCUCUACAUUUAUCUUCGGGAUUAGUUUUAAACCUUAGUAAUUGUUAUUUGGUGCCUGCGUUGAGCAUGAACAUUAUAUCAGGAUCUUGUUCAAUGCAAGAUGGUUAUUCAUUUAAAUCAGAGAAUAAUGGUUGUUCGAUUUAUAUGAGUAAUAUCUUUUAUGGUCAUGCACCACUUGUGAAUGGUUUAUUUCUAUUAAGUCUCGAUAGUAGUGACACACAUAUUCAUAAUGUUAAUGCCAAAAGGUGCAAAGUGGAUAAUGAUAGUUCAACAUAUUUGUGGCACUGCCGUCUAGGUCAUAUUGGUAUAAAACGCAUGAAGAAACUCCAUUCUGAUGGACUACUUGAAUCACUUGAUUUUGAAUCAUUUGAUACAUGUGAACCAUGCCUCAUGGGUAAGAUGACUAGAACCCCGUUUUCAGGCAUAAUGGAACGGGCCAGUGACUUGUUGGAGAUCAUACAUACUGAUGUGUGCGGACCAAUGAGUGUUACAACGUGCGGUGGAUAUCGUUACUUCCUAACCUUCGCAUAUGACUUGAGUAGAUAUGGGUAUAUUUACUUAAUGAAAAACAAGUCUGAGACAUUUGAAAAAUUCAAGGAAUUUCAUAAUGAAGUGGAGAAUCAUCGUAACAAGAAAAUUAAAUUUCUACGAUCGGAUCGUGGAGGUGAAUAUUUGAGUUACGAGUUUGGCACGCAUUUAAGACAAUGUGGAAUUGUUUCACAACUUACGCCGCCUGGAACACCACAACGCAAUGGUGUGUCCGAACGUCGUAAUCGUACUUUAUUGGAUAUGGUACGGUCUAUGAUGUCUCUUACUGAUUUGCCACUGUCGUUUUGGGGUUAUGCAUUAGAGACAGCCGCAUUCACUUUAAAUAGGGCACCAUCUAAAUCCGUUGAAACGACACCGUAUGAAUUAUGGUUUGGCAAGAAACCUAAGCUGUCCUUUCUUAAAGUUUGGGGAUGCGAAGCUUAUGUAAAAAGGCUACAACCUGAUAAGAUCGAACCCAAGUCGGAAAAAUGCGUCUUCAUAGGAUACCCUAAAGAAACAAUUGGGUACACCUUCUAUCACAGAUCCGAAGGAAAAGUGUUUGUCGCUAAGAACGGGUCUUUUCUAGAGAAGGAGUUUCUCUCGAAAGAAGUGAGUGGGAGGAAGGUAGAGCUCGAUGAGGUUAUUGAACCUUCUCUCGAAUUUGAGUGUAGCGCAGCACCAGAAACUGUUCCCGUGCAUCCUGCAUCAGCUAGAGAGGAAGCUAAUGAUAAUGAUCAUGAAGUUUUGAAUGAGACAACUACUGAACUUCGCAGGUCGACGAGAACACGUAAUACUCCUGAGUGGUACAAUGUUCGUGUCAUGAAUGUCAUGUUGUUGGACAACGAUGAACCUGCGAAUUAUGAGGAAGCAAUGAUGAGCCCAGACUCCGAAAAAUGGUUAGAAGCCAUGAAAUCCGAAAUGGGAUCCAUGUAUGAAAACCAAGUAUGGACUUUGGUAGACUUACCAAAUGACCGAAAGGCCGUUGAGAACAAAUGGAUUUUCAAGAAGAAAACAGAUGCUGAUGGAAAUGUUACCGUCUAUAAAGCUCGACUUGUCGCAAAAGGUUUUCGACAAAUUCAAGGAGUUGACUACGAUGAGACUUUCUCACCCGUAGCGAUGCUAAAGUCUGUUCGGAUUAUGUUAGCAAUUGCUGCAUUUUUCGAUUACGAAAUCUGGCAGAUGGAUGUCAAAACCGCGUUCCUUAAUGGUCACAUUGAGGAAGAGUUAUACAUGGUUCAGCCCAAAGGUUUUGUCAAUCCUAAGGAUGCUAAUAAGGUAUGCAAACUUCAGCGUUCCAUUUAUGGGCUGAAGCAAGCAUCUCGGAGUUGGAAUCUCCGUUUUGAUAAGGUGAUCAAAGGGUUUGGAUUUGUCCAAACUCACGGAGAAGCUUGUAUUUACAAGAAAGUGAGUGGGAGCUCUGUAGCAUUUCUAAUACUGUAUGUGGAUGACAUAUUGCUGAUUGGGAAUGAUAUAGAACUUCUUAAAAGUGUUAAAGACUAUUUGAAUAAAAGUUUUUCAAUGAAAGACCUUGGUGAAGCAGCUUACAUAUUAGGCAUCAAGAUUUAUAGAGAUAGAUCAAGACGCCUGAUAGGACUUACACAAAGUACAUACCUUGACAAAGUUUUGAAAAGGUUCAAAAUGGAUCAAGCAAAGAAAGGGUUCUUGCCCGUGUUGCAAGGUAAGAUAUUGAGUAAGACUCAGUGUCCAGCUUCGGCAGAAGAUAGAGAAAAGAUGAAUAGUAUCCCCUAUGGCUCAGCCAUAGGCUCUAUUAUGUAUGCCAUGCUGUGUACUAGACCAGACGUGUGUCAUGCUGUUAGUUUGACUAGCAGGUACCAAAGUGAUCCAGGAGUGGAACACUGGACAGCAGUUAAGAAUAUCCUUAAGUACCUAAAAAGGACUAAAGAAAUGUUUCUCGUUUAUGGAGGUGACGAACAGCUCGUCGUAAAGGGUUACGUCGAUGCUAGUUUUGACACUGAUCCGGAUGACUCUAAGUCUCAAUCCGGAUACGUAUUUAUUUUGAAUGGUGGUGCAGUUAGCUGGAGGAGUUCCAAGCAGAGCGUUGUGGCAGCAUCAACAACUGAAGCGGAAUAUGUGGCUGCUUCAGAAGCGGCACAGGAAGGAGUUUGGAUGAAGGAGUUCAUAUCUGAACUUGGUGUGGUUCCGAGUGCGUUGGAUCCCAUGGACAUCUAUUGUGACAACACUGGUGCCAUAGCCAACGCCAAGGAGCCGAGGUCUCACAAGAAUUCCAAGCAUAUUAAACGCCGGUUUCACACUAUUCGUGAAUAUGUCAAGGAUGGUGACAUAAAGAUUUGCAAAGUACAUACGGAUCUGAAUGUCGCAGACCCGUUGACUAAACCUCUUCCACGAGCAAAACAUGAUCAACACCAAGACUCCAUGGGUGUUAGAUUUAUUACAAUGUAAACUAGAUUAUUGACUCUAGUGCAAGUGGGAGAAUGUUGGAAAUAUGCCCUAGAGGCAAUAAUAAAUUUGUUAUUAUCAUAUUUCAUUGUUCUUGAUAAAUGUUUAUUGCCCAUGCUAUAAUUGUAUUGAUUGGAAACUCAAAUACAUGUGUGGAUAAAUAAACAAAUACCGUGUCCCUAAUACGCCUCUACUAGAUUAGCUCGUUGAUUAAAGAUGGUUAAGGUUUCCUAACCAUAGACAUGUGUUGUCAUUUAAUAACGAGAUCAUAUCAUUAGGAGAAUGAUGUGAUGGACAGACCCAAACCUAAACAUAGCUUUUGAUCGUGUCACUUAAGUUUAAGUUGCUUAUGUUUUAUUAUGUCAAGUAUUAUUUCUUUAGACCAUGAGAUCAUGCCACUCCCUAGUAACGGAAGAAUACUUUGUGGGCAUCAACCGUCAUC
rnacentral:lncRNA from 1 species